rfam:Capsicum annuum cultivar Zunla-1 chromosome 11, whole genome shotgun sequence
AACUCAUGAUUUGGGCAUUGCAUUAUAUUAUCAUUGAACCAUUGACACACUUCAUACAAUGGUUCACGAUUAAGUUGGUAAAAGUUGGUGAUUUCGUCCCUUACUU